UAAAAACUGCUGACCCAUUGUCCUUGCUUCGGGACAGGUGGUGGGGCAAUUUCCGACUAACUGCCUGAAGCCUGGGUUUUUAGGCCUAAUCUGAACUGCCAACUUGAAGCCUGUCAUGGAGUCAGCCUAUCUCAUCAAAGGAAGGUGACAAAGCCUACGAAGUCAACAGCUGCUCUCUGUUCUGGCCCAUCAGCUCCAAGCACCAUCUCCUGCAUGAACAGGUUUUACCUCUCAAAUGGUUUAAUCCUAUCUGUACAUGUCUAGUGGUUUCAAAUACAUCAUUUCAUGUAAACAUCUAAUAAACUAUACUGGGGGUUUAUGGAUUAAAUUGCAAUGAAGAACAGUGGUGCAUAAUAAAGAGCAGUGUCUAAGGCUAAAA
rnacentral:lncRNA from 1 species